UCUCUAUAAGGUCAUGGUCAAUAUCAGAAA
rnacentral:piRNA from 1 species